ACGAGAUCUUCUCAAGUGCAUCAGUCCCUCUAGUGUACAUUUGACAGUUGAGAGGCACUUGGGAUGCAUGCCCCGAUGCUUCCAACCAUCCAAUGUGGGUGAGAAGGGUUGGAGUACUUAAGAGGAUCUGGGUCCUCCUCUACCUGUGUGUGCCUUCUCAUACACCGUAACCGCUGACUUGUACUCGGAAUAGAAGUGCUCCAAUGCUUCUCUACAUAGAAAACUGCAUACUUCUCCAAACCAUUCUUAAAUUCACAUUCUCAUAGAACAUGUGAGUUAGUAAAAUAUGAUAGCCUCUACCUGCCCUUUGAAAUCAGAAACAGUCCGGUUUGUGCUGGGGUGAUGGGUUGAUUGGGGUUCAAUCCACUGGUCUGACACUCUUUGAAGAGAUGCCCUAAAUGGCGCCAAAAAGCGUUAAAUUGUUUCUUUCAUGGCGGGAAGGAAAAGGAUUUAGCAUCAGAGUCCGAAGGGCAAAGCUCCAUCCUAAAAUUUACAUAAUCUUAAAAGAUUUCCUCCAUGGCGGGAAGGAAAAGGACGAAAAAGGCAGAGAAACCGGUCAGAGUGGAUGAGCUGCGGCCUUGGUCUGAGCUUCCUAACGAACGCCUGGAGCUCAUUGUGUCCCGUCUGUGCAUCGAAGAUCAUGUCCGUUUGUCCUGUGUUUGUAAGAAAUUGCGAAAAGUUGCCCGUUCAUGUGGUGAACCAAUCUCCAUGGCUCUUGUUCCUCACAGGAGGAUUAGGUGGCAUAAUCAAAUUCUUUGACCUUCACAGGGAAAGUUUUAUGUUGAUGAGAUCCCAGAGCUAAGGCGUGCAAAGCCUCGGUGCACCAAGGAUGGAUGGGUGCUGUUUACUGGCGGUAGCUUUUUCUUAUUCAAUAUCUUCACCAAGUCAAAAGUUAAGCUUUUCUAUUACCGUAUGCUUUCCCCAAAUUUGCUUUAUCUUGUGCGCCCACAUCCCCUGGCUGUGUAGUUUUUGCAGUUGAAACUGAUACAUCGUGUUUUGGCAGUCUAGUGGUUUCCAUUUGCAUUUGUCAUCCAGGGGAUGCACAGUGGACUACUUUUAAGUUCCAAAUUAAUGAUGUCGUCCGCAAUUUCAACUGGGGGGAUGAUCCAGUUUCCUG